rnacentral:rRNA from 1 species
UGGGGAAUAUUGCACAAUGGGGGAAACCCUGAUGCAGCGACGCCGAGUGAGCGAUGAAGGCUUUCGAGUCGUAAAGCUCUGUCCUAUGGGAAGAUAAUGACGGUACCAUAGAAGAAAGCCCCGGCUAAUUACGUGCCAGCAGCCGCGGUAAUACGUAAGGGGCGAGCGUUGUCCGGAAUUAUUGGGCUUAAAGGGCAUCUAGGCGGUAAGACAAGUUGAAGGUGAAAACCUGUGGCUCAACCAUAGGCUUGCCUACAAAACUGUUGAACUAGAGUACUGGAAAGGUGGGUGGAACUACACGAGUAGAGGUGAAAUUCGUAGAUAUGUGUAGGAAUGCCGAUGAUGAAGAUAACUCACUGGACAGAAACUGACGCUGAAGUGCGAAAGCUAGGGGAGCAAACAGG